rnacentral:tRNA from 1 species
GCUGAAAUAAUUUAUUAACAAUUAGAAUACCGUCUUGAAGCGGCGGAAGAGGGCGUAGGGUCCCUUUCAGCA